CCCACUUUGAGAGUCUUUUGCAAUGGGAGA
rnacentral:piRNA from 1 species